rnacentral:lncRNA from 1 species
GUGCCGGAGCAGUAAGACCUCACCUGCUUUUUGAUGCAAGAAACUCGAUUUUUAAGUUAACUACAACAUGUGGCUUCUUCUGUUAAAGAAGCUAGUUAGAAAGCUA